UACGUAGGGGGCAAGCGUUGUCCGGAUUUAUUGGGCGUAAAGAGCGUGUAGGCGGUUCGGUAGGUCCGUUGUGAAAACUCGAGGCUCAACCUCGAGACGCCGAUGGAAACCCCCGAACUAGAGUCCGGAAGAGGAGAGUGGAAUUCCCGGUGUAGCGGUGAAAUGCGCAGAUAUCGGGAAGAACACCCGUGGCUAAGGCGGCUCUCUAGUACGGUACUGACGCUGAGACGCGAAAGCGUGGGGAG
rnacentral:rRNA from 1 species